GAUGAACGCUGGCGGCGUGCUUAACACAUGCAAGUCGAACGAUGAAGCCCAGCUUGCUGGGUGGAUUAGUGGCGAACGGGUGAGUAACACGUGAGUAACCUGCCCUUAACUCUGGGAUAAGCCUGGGAAACUGGGUCUAAUACCGGAUAGGAGCGUCCACCGCAUGGUGGGUGUUGGAAAGAUUUAUCGGUUUUGGAUGGACUCGCGGCCUAUCAGCUUGUUGGUGAGGUAAUGGCUCACCAAGGCGACGACGGGUAGCCGGCCUGAGAGGGUGACCGGCCACACUGGGACUGAGACACGGCCCAGACUCCUACGGGAGGCAGCAGUGGGGAAUAUUGCACAAUGGGCGCAAGCCUGAUGCAGCGACGCCGCGUGAGGGAUGACGGUCUUCGGGUUGUAAACCUCUUUCAGUAGGGAAGAAGCGAAAGUGACGGUACCUGCAGAAGAAGCACCGGCUAACUACGUG
rnacentral:rRNA from 1 species